AGUUACUAAGCCACCCGCCAUUGUUUUGAAAACAAAUGAUAAGAACUAAUUUUCUUAGUAACUA
rnacentral:tRNA from 1 species